rnacentral:rRNA from 1 species
GAUGAACGCUAGCGGCAGGCUUAAUACAUGCAAGUCGAGGGACAGCACAGGUAGCAAUACUGGGUGGUAACCGGCAAACGGGUGCGGAACACGUACACAACCUUCCUUUAAGUGGGGGAUAGCCCAGAGAAAUUUGGAUUAAUACCCCGUAAUAUAGUUGAAUGGCAUCAUUUGAUUAUUAUAGCUACGGCGCUUAAUGAUGGGUGUGCGGCUGAUUAGAUAGUUGGCGGGGUAACGGCCCACCAAGUCUACGAUCAGUAGCUGAUGUGAGGGCAUGAUCAGCGACACGGGCACUGAGACACGGGCCCGACUCCGACGGGAGGCAGCAGUAAGGAGUAUUGGUCAAUGGACGCAAGUCUGAACCAGCCAUGCCGCGUGAAGGAUUAAGGUCCUCUGGAUUGUAAACUUCUUUUAUUUGGGACGAAAAAGGGCCUUUCUAGGUCAACUGACGGUACCAGAUGAAUAAGCACCGGCUAACUCCGUGCCAGCCGCCGCCGUAACAC